UUAGGAAUCUUCCCCAAUGGGCGAAAGCCUGAGGGAGCGAUACCGCUUGAGGGACGAAGCAUUUCGGUGUGUAAACCUCUGAAACUGGGACGAUAAUGACGGUACCAGUGUAAUAGCACCGGCUAACUCCGUGCCAGCAGCCGCGGUAAUACGGAGGGUGCGAGCGUUACCCGGAUUUACUGGGUGUAAAGGGCGCGUAGGCGGUUAUUCAAGUCCGAUGCUAAAGACCGAAGCUCAACUUCGGGAGUGCGUUGGAUACUGGAUGGCUAGACGAUCGGAGAGGGUAGCGGAAUGGUCAGAGUAGCGGUGAAAUGCGCAGAUACUGAUCGGAACGCCAAUAGCGAAAGCAGCUACCUGGACGAUAAGUGACGCUGAGGCGCGAAAGCGUGGGGAGCAAACCGG
rnacentral:rRNA from 1 species